rnacentral:rRNA from 1 species
AUUGAACGCUGGCGGCAGGCCUAACACAUGCAAGUCGAACGAGUGGCGGACGGGUGAGUAAUGUCUGGGAAACUUCCUGAUGGAGGGGGAUAACUACUGGAACCGGUCGCUAAUACCGCAUACCAUCAGAUGUGCCCAGAUGGGCUUAGCUAGUUGGUGGGGUAACGGCUCGCCAAGGCGACGAUCCCUAGCUGUGCUGAGAGGAUGACCAGCCACACUGGAACUGAGACACGUGCCAGACUCCUACGGGAGGCAGCAGUGGGGAAUAUGGCACAAUGGGCGCAAGCAUGAUGCAGCCAUGCCGCGUGUAUGAAGAAGGCCUUCGGGUUGUAAAGUACGGUCAGCGGGGAGGCGUUACCCGCAGAAGAAGCACCGGCUAACUCCGUGCCAGCAGCCGCGGUAAUAC